CUUCAGAUUGUAAGGAAUCGUACCCCAAACCGACACAGGUGGUCGGGUAGAGAAUACCAAGGCGCUUGAGAGAACUCGGGUGAAGGAACUAGGCAAAAUGGUACCGUAACUUCGGGAGAAGGUACGCUCUUGAUGGUGAAGUCCCUUGCGGAUGGAGCUGACGAGAGUCGCAGAUACCAGGUGGCUGCAACUGUUUAUUAAAAACACAGCACUGUGCAAAAUCGUAAGAUGACGUAUACGGUGUGACGCCUGCCCGGUGCCGGAAGGUUAAUUGAUGGGGUUAGCGUAAGCGAAGCUCUUGAUCGAAGCCCCGGUAAACGGCGGCCGUAACUAUAACGGUCCUAAGGUAGCGAAAUUCCUUGUCGGGUAAGUUCCGACCUGCACGAAUGGCGUAAUGAUGGCCACGCUGUCUCCACCCGAGACUCAGUGAAAUUGAAAUCGCUGUGAAGAUGCAGUGUACCCGCGGCUAGACGGAAAGACCCCGUGAACCUUUACUACAGCUUGGCACUGAACAUUGAACCUACAUGUGUAGGAUAGGUGGGAGGCUUUGAAGACGUGACGCCAGUUGCGUUGGAGCCGUCCUUGAAAUACCACCCUUGUAUGUUUGAUGUUCUAACGUUGGCCCCUAAUCGGGGUUGCGGACAGUGCCUGGUGGGUAGUUUGACUGGGGCGGUCUCCUCCCAAAGAGUAACGGAGGAGCACGAAGGUGGGCUAAUCACGGUUGGACAUCGUGAGGUUAGUGCAAUGGCAUAAGCCCGCUUAACUGCGAGAAUGACGGUUCGAGCAGGUGCGAAAGCAGGUCAUAGUGAUCCGGUGGUUCUGAAUGGAAGGGCCAUCGCUCAACGGAUAAAAGGUACUCCGGGGAUAACAGGCUGAUACCGCCCAAGAGUUCAUAUCGACGGCGGUGUUUGGCACCUCGAUGUCGGCUCAUCACAUCCUGGGGCUGAAGUCGGUCCCAAGGGUAUGGCUGUUCGCCAUUUAAAGUGGUACGCGAGCUGGGUUUAGAACGUCGUGAGACAGUUCGGUCCCUAUCUGCCGUGGGCGUUGGAAGAUUGAAGGGGGCUGCUCCUAGUACGAGAGGACCGGAGUGGACGAACCUCUGGUGUUCGGGUUGUGUCGCCAGACGCAUUGCCCGGUAGCUAAGUUCGGAAUCGAUAACCGCUGAAAGCAUCUAAGCGGGAAGCGAGCCCUGAGAUGAGUCUU
rnacentral:rRNA from 1 species